rnacentral:rRNA from 1 species
AGCACGGACCAAGGAGUCUAACACGUGCGCGAGUCGCAGGGUUGUACGAAACCCGAGGGCGUAACGAAAGUGAACGAGAUCUUCGGAUCUAUCAGGUGGGAUCCCGAAGCCUUUGGCGACGGGCGCACCACCGGCCUGUCUCGGCCGCAGCGUCGGCGAGGCGGAGCAAGAGCGUACGCGUUGGGACCCGAAAGAUGGUGAACUAUGCCUGAGCAGGAUGAAGCCAGAAGAAAUUCUGGUGGAAGUCCGCAGCGAUUCUGACGUGCAAAUCGAUCGUCAAACUUGGGUAUAGGGGCGAAAGACUAAUCGAACCAUCUAGUAGU